GCGACCGGCGCACGGGUGAGUAACGCGUAUCCAACCUUCCGUACACUCAGGGAUAGCCUUUCGAAAGAAAGAUUAAUACCUGAUGGUAUGAUGAGAUUGCAUGAUAGCAUCACUAAAGAUUUAUCGGUGUACGAUGGGGAUGCGUUCCAUUAGGUAGUAGGCGGGGUAACGGCCCACCUAGCCAACGAUGGAUAGGGGUUCUGAGAGGAAGGUCCCCCACAUUGGAACUGAGACACGGUCCCAAACUCCUACGGGAGGCAGCAGUGAGGAAUAUUGGUCAAUGGACGAGAGUCUGAACCAGCCAAGUAGCGUGAAGGAUGAAGGUCCUACGGAUUGUAAACUUCUUUUAUAAGGGAAUAAACCCUCCCACGUGUGGGAGCUUGUAUGUACCUUAUGAAUAAGCAUCGGCUAACUCCGUGCCAGCAGCCGCGGUAAUACGGAGGAUGCGAGCGUUAUCCGGAUUUAUUGGGUUUAAAGGGAGCGCAGACGGGUCGUUAAGUCAGCUGUGAAAGUUUGGGGCUCAACCUUAAAAUUGCAGUUGAUACUGGCGUCCUUGAGUGCGGUUGAGGUGUGCGGAAUUCGUGGUGUAGCGGUGAAAUGCUUAGAUAUCACGAAGAACUCCGAUUGCGAAGGCAGCA
rnacentral:rRNA from 1 species